CAUAUAGAUGACAAUGACAUCAUCUCCUACAUCAUCGCUAGCCUCGAUGAGGAGUUUGAACCCGUGGUCUCCUCUAUUGUGGGGUGGCAAGAUCGGGUUACACUAGGCGAACCUUUUGCUCAGCUCUUAAGCUUUGAGC
rfam:Oryza sativa (indica cultivar-group) chromosome 4, whole genome shotgun sequence.